CGCCCACAGUUAGCCCGCUCAGCCGCCCCCAUCUGGCAGAUACUAUUCCGAUUCCUGCCGUGGGGGAGGGCGCCUGAUGGUAGGACUCGAGCCCUCUGUGGGGAAUCCCACGCUGCGCUUUCCCCUGGGGACGCCUCAGCCCCCUAAACUCUGAGGACUCUGUCUGUUACCAUAGAAUAAAAACAGACCUAUAAACAGACAACAGAAGAAAGACACCCUUUAAGUAGUGUCUGCCACAUGGAAGCAGAGAGUGACGUCAUACCUGCUACACCAUUGUGGGUGUGGAGGGGGCAAUUUUGUCUGAAGGAGAAACCUCUAUUCUUACCAUGGAAUCUUUAAUGGCUACACAGGUAGGCAAAAGAGGGAGUCCAGUGGAUCACAGUGAGAGGGAAUUUCAAAACAGAUGCAGCGAUCUCCUCAUUUGGCUGCAAACACACCCUGUGAAGACUGAAUUGGAGGGUAAGAACUGUUCCACUUCCAUUCCAAGCAGUAAACUGGCUUUGGCUUCCUGUGUUGGAGAAGGCCUGGAAGACACUAUACC